ensembl:snRNA Gm23352 predicted gene, 23352
AGCUAUUAUAGCUCAUUUAGAAUUUUUUCUAGUAGGUUUUUUGACUUUGGUAGAAAAACCCAU